AUCGAUGAAGAACGCAGCGAAAUGCGAUAAGUAAUGUGAAUUGCAGAAUUCAGUGAAUCAUCGAAUCUUUGAACGCACAUUGCGCCCCUUGGUAUUCCGGGGGGCAUGCCUGUUCGAGCGUCAUUACAACCCUCAAGCUUUGCUUGGUCUUGGGCCCUGCCGGCAACGGCGGGCCUUAAAAUCAGUGGCGGCGCCAUCGUGCUCUCAGCGUAGUAAUUCUUCUCGCUGUUGGGUCCCGGUGGACGCUGGCCAGCAACCCCCAAUUUUCUAUGGUUGACCUCGGAUCAGGUAGGGAUACCCGCUGAACUUAAGCAUAUCAAUAAGCGGAGGAAAAGAAACCAACAGGGAUUGCCUCAGUAACGGCGAGUGAAGCGGCAACAGCUCAAAUUUGAAAUCUGGCUCUUUCAGGGUCCGAGUUGUAAUUUGUAGAAGAUGCUUCGGGUGUGGCUCCGGUCUAAGUUCCUUGGAACAGGACGUCAUAGAGGGUGAGAAUCCCGUAUGUGACUGGCUGCCUCCGCCCAUGUGAAGCUCUUUCGACGAGUCGAGUUGUUUGGGAAUGCAGCUCAAAAUGGGUGGUAAAUUUCAUCUAAAGCUAAAUAUUGGCCAGAGACCGAUAGCGCACAAGUAGGGUGAUCGAAAGAUGAAAAGCACUUUGGAAAGAGAGUUAAACAGUACGUGAAAUUGUUGAAAGGGAAGCGCUUGCAAUCAGACUUGCGCGCGGUCGAUCAUCCGAUGUUCUCACCGGUGCACUCGACCGUGCUCAGGCCAGCAUCGGUUUCGGUGGUUGGAUAAAGGCCUUGGGAAUGUGGCUCCUCUCGGGGAGUGUUAUAGCCCUCGGUGCAAUGCAGCCUACCGGGACCGAGGACCGCGCUUCGGCUAGGAUGCUGGCGUAAUGGUUGUAAGCGACCCGUCUUGAAACACGG
rnacentral:rRNA from 1 species